rnacentral:rRNA from 1 species
UACGUAGGGGGCAAGCGUUGUCCGGAAUCAUUGGGCGUAAAGAGCGCGUAGGCGGCCCUGUAAGUCCGCUGUGAAAGUCAAGGGCUCAACCCUUGAAUGCCGGUGGAUACUGCAGGGCUAGAGUCCGGAAGAGGCGAGUGGAAUUCCUGGUGUAGCGGUGAAAUGCGCAGAUAUCAGGAAGAACACCAACGGCGAAGGCAGCUCGCUGGGACGGUACUGACGCUGAGACGCGAAAGCGUGGGGAGCGAACAGG